AAUUUCUUAGGCAUAUGAUGUAGCGAAUUCCCAUGAAGAUUUAAAUUUAAUUUAACUUAAUUUCAACCAAUGGGAUAGCAACCACCACCGGAAGAUCGCGGAGAAAUCGGUAAACUCAACGGAGUUAAUUCAGAAAAAUACCAAAAAAAAUUGUUUGUAGGAUAUACAAUUGUUACUCUCUUUAUUUCUAAUCAUUCACUAUAUACUCCCGCACACACGUGUAUCUUAAGAGCCCCUCCUAAGAGGGGGGCUUAUAACAGAACACUUCUCCAGACUUGUAACCCUGGUAACGGGACACAAACCGACUCUUAAACCUGGGUGGAACCCUCAACUAAGGGACACUUACGACCUUGAAGUCAGAAUAUUCGCGGAGAGCUACGAACGUAUCCACAGGUCCAACCUGGUCGGAAUGGGCAUUAUGCCGCUGCAGUACCUCGAGGGCGACCGUGGAGACGCACGGACUCACCGGCAAGGAGCAGUUCUCGAUAACCCUGCCAGACAAGUUGAAACCUACCCAGAUAUACAGAGUUGAGGUGAACGAUGGACGGACCUUCAGAGAUCUCGUCCGAUUCGACACCAAAGUGGAACUGGAAUACUUCAGGAACGGUGGCAUUCUUAACUACAUGAUUCGUAACAUGCUGUAAAUAAUUGCCAUGGAAACCUACGGUUGCUAAGGAACUGUUUAAGGAAAAUUUUGCUAUGGAAACAAACUGUUGCUAUGGAAAUGAAAUGUAAGGCUAUGAUAUUGGCAUCUGCUAGGCGGUGUUGGCUGUCACUAUGGUACGAUGGUUUGAUGGACGUCACAGGCGCCUGCCAUUGUUACGUCGAUAUUUUUGAGGCGAUAAGGCCUCCUUGUAAUGUCCUACUGACAGCCAACACCACGUAGCUGUAGUCAUAGGUUUGCUGGUGGCCAAUAGAUUUCUGCAGUACUGUGAAAAUGGGAGUAUAUGGGCACUGAUAUCAACAAACUGUUUGUGCACUUGGGGCGCCCUCUAAACUCGGGAGGAGUUGCCACUGUUUCGUCUUUGUGUAUGUGAGCAAGGCACUUGACCCUACUAACCUCUUAACGCAAGAGUGAAUGGGUUAGUUGGCAGAAAUUAUAAUGUAAUACUCCCAGAGUGUAGAGCUUGAACCACGAAUGCACAGGCCAAUAGCUAGGGGUAAUAAUGUAAAGUUCGAACAACUGAAACAAGUUGGAUUGAGCACUAUAGAAGUCUCAUGAUUAUUAUUACCAGUAUCAUUAUUAUUAUUAUUAACUGAAGGAGAUGGUGUAGAGUUACGUUAAUACCAGCAUUAGUUGGCAUAAAGUCCAAUGGACACGAGGGUUGGCUAUAGGUACCACCAUUUUGGCUAGAACUUGAAUCUAAAAGCAUGAUGUGAUACUGAGAUUGUCAAAAUAAAUUAAAGAACAUCAGAAUUAGCAUUUGUCCC